UUGUUCUCUCUCCCCUGCCACUUGCCUCUUCCCCUGCUCUGCUGCAGGCCUGGAGAGGGUGGAGGGAGGGCCAGCGAG
ensembl:miRNA